UGUUAGGACUGUGUUGUUAUAGAUAUUCUUCUUAUUUGAAGUCAUCAAAGUUGUUAAUUUGGAGAGUAUCUAAUGAAAUUAUCAUCAAUUCAAUUUAGAAAUGAUUUAUGAUAUAAUUGAUUGAGAGAAACUUAAGCUGAAGGAAAAGCAGGUGAAUUCUGGACAAUUUUAAUGUUCAGGAAAAGUUUAUUUUUUCAUUUGUCUGAUAAACUCUGAGAAUAAUCCCGAGUUUGUUAUGUUACAUUGUGUUUUAAAGGUAUAUGAAUGUGAAUUCAAUUAUUGACUUUGAACUCAAUUUAAGGAAUUUGAAUUUGCCUUUCUUAUGUAAAUUGGAAAAUGGUGAAGAAGAUCCCCAUGAAGAUAUUUGAAGAUGGAUUCUAAAUAUGAAACAUACUUGUAGUCCAAGUCCUUGAUCGAAUCAUGUUAUUCAAUGUUGAAAUUUAAGAAAAAAAUAGCGUACUUAAGCCUUAAGAGUGAUCACUGUAGCCACGAAAGAUACAAAGAUGCAAUUCUUUUUAGUCUUUUGGCUGACUGAAUAUGGAAAUCUUUAAUUGUGUCUCACGGAAUACUUUGGAGUGGGCAUCGAGUUGGGAAGGGGAGUGAGCUGAUGGCCAGAGGAGCAAGAGAAGGAUGAGCAACAGGUCAGGUAGGGUUAGGUUAGUGUGAUGAUUGCCGGGGAAGGAAGAGGGUGGAGGCAGAAGGGUGGUCGAGUGUUGGUGAAUUGGUGAAAAGAGGAGCGUGAGGAAAGGGAAUAUGGUCGAACAGAAAAUUACCUGUUUAUUAGGUCCAUGUCAUGUAGGCUCGCUUUUGGAAUACACCCCUAUUACUGUGGAACACUGCAUAGCUGGGACUUAUUCUUAUGAAAUGAUCCUUAUUCAUGAUUCUCUCUUCCCAGAAUUACUUAUAAUUCAAGUGUCCAUAUUCUAUUAGGAAAACUGUUUUUGGGAUUUACAUUUCUGAUCAAAUUGUUUUACAUCCCCUCAAAAGUUUUACGAGUAUUUUAAAGAAAAGGGUACUGAAGGAUGGAAAUGGGAAGCAUUUGUUCACAUAUAAAAUGGUUGAAGUAGGCUAUCUAAGGUGAUAAAUGAAUUAAGGGUUAUUUUUUUUUCAACUCAAUUUGAUUGAUAUGGACUUCCUUAUUAGCAUAACACACCCUUAGGAGCACAAGAAUAUCUAUUAUAGAUCAUCUGAUAUAAGGCACUGAAUCAAAUUGUUUUGAAGACUGUCAUUGUUUGCAUGGAAGUAUGGGAUGCUUCAUAUGAUAUUUGUAAAUUCAAUGUAAGUUUCUCAGGUAAUCUACCACUAUUACCAAACAGUUAUUUUUCCUUGUUCAUUUUCGAUAUUACAAGACGUCGAUUGCAUUCUCCAACAAAUGCUUCCUGAUUUAAGAAGUUUUCAGCAAUUUUUCCAUAAAUUUUAUCGUGGAAUAUCACAUGUCAAUGUAUGUGCAAUUAUGUAUAUUGAGAUAAGAUGACUAUCAGGAGGACUCAAGAAGUAAAUUAUAGAAGUACAGUUCUUUCUUCUGUGUUUGUUGGACUUAGGCAUAUCCCAUCAUAAUGAUUGUUACUCAUAUUUUUCUGAAUAGAAUGAAGGGAAAAAGAGUGAGGUUCAAGGACUUGGCAUCUGAAUCGAAUUUUCCUGCAAGCAGUGGAUUACCAUCUGAUGCAAGAGAUGAUCUUCCUAUGCCUGCUGCAGUUAAUGAAGCAAAAACCUCCGAGUUUGCGUUUUUUAAAAAAUUGAAGCAAGAUGUUGGUUGCACUUCCUGUCUAAAUCCUCAAAACAGAGAGAAAAUCCCCAUGAGGAAUUUGAGACCAAGCAACUAUGCCAGAGAAUUAGGUAGCUCAAAACUUAAGGAUGUAAAAUCUUCACAGUAUGUUAAGAAGUCUACGACUAGGGAAAUUGGUUCUUUUUUCUCUCCAAGAGAUGCCGUUUUGGAGAGUUCAGAUCUGCCUAGUAAGGAGCGUGAUAAUGGGAAAUUCAAGUGCUUAUCUCCUAUCAGAACACCAGCAAGUGUUAAUCUAGUAUCUUUCCUUUCCGCAACUGCAAAUACCUCUGCUAAUCCAGAAAACCAACUAAAAGAUGGAGAUAUCUUUACGUGCAAGAGGCUGAAGUUACUGCAGCGGAUUGCCAAGACCUUGUCUCCUGAAGCUGAUGAAGUUCCAAAGGAGUUAAGUGCAUGACUCAAUUUGUUUUGUUAUUUCUUUGUUGGCCUUCUUUUUCUUUUACAAAUAUUCACAGAUGUUUUGUCAGGUGUGAUUUAGUGUUUCAGCUCCUAAGUCGUUUGCUCCCAGAGAGUUAUCAAGGAAAUCUGUCACCAAUCCUACAACUAAGGCAACCAGAAACUGAAGAGAAUUCUCACUUGCGUCUUGAUUCAAAUAUUCAUGUCAUGGACACUACGGAUACUUCAAGGAUGCUUGUGAAGGCUGACAUGGAUCCCUUCUUGGAUAG